GCAAAAUAAUAGUGCAGCAAAAAUACUGAAAGAGGAUAAUAUCCUAGUAAAAUAUCAAACAUAUUCCAAGGCUACAGUAAUUAGAAAAGUGCCCAGAGCACAGACAGUAGAUUAAAAAAAAAAAAGUAGGACAGCGUCUUUCUUCUGUCACCUCUCUUCGUAUGAAAACACACCAGAGACAGAUACACAGACAGACAGACAGACACACACACACACACACACACACACACUGAUACGCACAAACACACACAAAACAGAGGCCCAGGCCUCACAGAGGGCCAUGCCAUUGUCCGUAGAUUCUCUUUCCGUCUCUCAGUUUCACUUUCAUUUCCUGCCUGGCUGCUGCAGAGCACCCUUAGAGAAUAAAUCCUGCACCCGGUGCCUGGUCUGUUACCACUUCCACACGGAAUCUGAAGUCUCCAGAGGUGUCCAAAGGGUCCAGAACAGGAGGAAG
rnacentral:lncRNA from 1 species